rnacentral:lncRNA from 1 species
AAACUCAUUUAUUUCCAUUUCUCUCCUAGUUCAAUUCAAAAGAUGCCUUUGUUUUGAGAGUACCAUAGUGGGACAUGUUCCCUGACCGCUGGUGUUUUCCUUUGACUAACCAAGGAUCUUUAUUUAACCUAACCAGUGGGGAACAGCCAGAAAAGAAUUGAGCAACUGGGUGUUAAGGAAUGUGGCAAGAAGGAGCGAAGUAUCUUGUAGGUAGCACCGAUGCCUCCAGGCCACCUGUGAGCUAGCUCAGCCUGCAGUGAGGUGGGUAUGUUGCCAAUCAGCUUAGGAUUCAUUUGCUCACUGACACAGGUGCUGGCUUGCGCCCGACACUACUCAGGAAAAGAAUCCUGAGCUUUAGGAGCCCAUCUUCCUCGAGAAAUAAAUCAUCAGCAGGUUUACCUGUGCAAGUUUUACAGAGCCUGUGCUGGAGCACACGGAGGUCAGUAUACGGUGGAGCGCUGCUUAUAUAGCAGCUGCAGGCCUGUGAUUGCCCCAAGUACAGGUCGGUGAUUGGUGCUGGGCUCCGGAACAGCCUCUGCUGUCGUGGCUGAGAUCCAGUGAGGUAGUGGGGGCUGAAACCAGGGAACCUUCUGGAAAGCAAGCUGGCUGUGGGGAUUCGGGAUACGAAUAGGGUCAGAUCCCUCCCCGCCUGAUCAUGGACACAUCAGGAUGUCCCUUCCCUCUUUCAAAAGGGCAAUAGUAGCGUCUAAAGUAGUAGGAGUGGGGAAGUUGGCCCCAUUCUGGAGUGACUGCAAGGACCAAGUCACGGCCCCCGCCAUCGCGAGGGACACCCGGAGAGCCAGGUGCUUCUGGCACUAACGGAGCUCAGUGGCCAUGUUGCCAAUCGGCUGCAGGCCCCCCCCCCCCAUUCAGCUAGAAAUCCCAAAUCGAAUCAGCAAAGUGCACCUCUGGGCUUUGAGUGCCAGGGACCCCCCAGCCCUUAGUGCUACAGCUCCGGACCCUUGGUUACUGAUUGCUGCUGAGGCUCCGCGCCGCUGCUGGUCACCUCGGGAAAGCCGCACUGGCUGCGGCCACACGCAGUUCCAUGAAGUUAAUAAGCAGGAAGCAGGGGAAAGGGAAAAGAAAAGAGGAAGAAUACGACUGUGAAGGAGCCUGUUGUGCCAGUGUUGAUUCUUCAACAUUUCAACAUGACAGUUGUUUGUAUUAAUCUGCAACCUACAAGGUCUAAUAAAAC